rnacentral:rRNA from 1 species
AGUUCGGAUUGUAGGCUGCAACUCGCCUACAUGAAGUUGGAAUCGCUAGUAAUCGCGAAUCAGAAUGUCGCGGUGAAUACGUUCCCGGGUCUUGUACACACCGCCCGUCACACCACGAGAGUUUACAACACCCGAAGUCAGUGGCCUAACCGCAAGGAGGGAGCUGCCUAAGGUGGGGUAGAUGAUUGGGGUGAAGUCGUAACAAGGUAUC